rnacentral:sRNA from 1 species
GCCUGGCACAGUGGUGUAUGCCUGAAAUCUCUGCAACUCGGGAGGCUGAGGUAGGAGGAUUGCAAGUUUGAGGCCAGCCUCAGCAACUUAAUGAGACCCUAUCUCAA